rnacentral:rRNA from 1 species
UACGUAGGGUGCAAGCGUUGUCCGGAAUUAUUGGGCGUAAAGAGCUCGUAGGCGGUUUGUCGCGUCUGCUGUGAAACCCGAGGCUCAACCUCGGGCCUGCAGUGGGUACGGGCAGACUAGAGUGCGGUAGGGGUGACUGGAAUUCCUGGUGUAGCGGUGGAAUGCGCAGAUAUCAGGAGGAACACCCGUGGCGAAGGCGGCUCUCUGGUACGUGACUGACGCUGAGACGCGAAAGCGUGGGGAGCAAACAGG